rnacentral:rRNA from 1 species
GCGGCGAAGAGGCAGAACUGCCAUGCAGUCGAGCGGAUGAGUGGAGCUUGCUCCAUGAUUCAGCGGCGGACGGGUGAGUAAUGCCUAGGAAUCUGCCUGGUAGUGGGGGACAACGUUUCGAAAGGAACGCUAAUACCGCAUACGUCCUACGGGAGAAAGUGGGGGAUCUUCGGACCUCACGCUAUCAGAUGAGCCUAGGUCGGAUUAGCUAGUUGGUGAGGUAAAGGCUCACCAAGGCGACGAUCCGUAACUGGUCUGAGAGGAUGAUCAGUCACACUGGAACUGAGACACGGUCCAGACUCCUACGGGAGGCAGCAGUGGGGAAUAUUGGACAAUGGGCGAAAGCCUGAUCCAGCCAUGCCGCGUGUGUGAAGAAGGUCUUCGGAUUGUAAAGCACUUUAAGUUGGGAGGAAGGGCAGUAAGUUAAUACCUUGCUGUUUUGACGUUACCAACAGAAUAAGCACCGGCUAACUUCGUGCCAGCAGCCGCGGUAAUACGAAGGGUGCAAGCGUUAAUCGGAAUUACUGGGCGUAAAGCGCGCGUAGGUGGUUCGUUAAGUUGGAUGUGAAAGCCCCGGGCUCAACCUGGGAACUGCAUCCAAAACUGGCGAGCUAGAGUAUGGCAGAGGGUGGUGGAAUUUCCUGUGUAGCGGUGAAAUGCGUAGAUAUAGGAAGGAACACCAGUGGCGAAGGCGACCACCUGGGCUAAUACUGACACUGAGGUGCGAAAGCGUGGGGGAGCAAACAGGAUUAGAUACCCUG